GUAGGUGGCGAGCGUUGUCCGGAUUUACUGGGCGUAAAGAGCGCGCAGGCGGUCGUACAAGUCGCGUGUGAAAUCCCCCGGCUCAACUGGGGUGGGUCACGCGAUACUGUUCGACUCGAAGGCAGGAGAGGGAAGCGGAAUUCCCGGUGUAGUGGUGAAAUGCGUAGAUAUCGGGAGGAACACCAGUGGCGAAGGCGGCUUCCUGGCCUGUUCUUGACGCUGAGGCGCGAAAGCUAGGGGAGCAAACGGGAUUAGAUACCCCGGUAGUCCUAGCCGUAAACGAUGGACACUAGGUGUUGGUGGUAUCAACCCCGCCAGUGCCGAAGCUAACGCAUUAAGUGUCCCGCCUGGGGAGUACGGCCGCAAGGCUA
rnacentral:rRNA from 1 species